rnacentral:rRNA from 1 species
GAUGAACGCUGGCGGCGUGCCUAAUACAUGUAAGUCGAGCGAACAGACGAGGAGCUUGCUCCUCUGACGUUAGCGGCGGACGGGUGAGUAACACGUGGAUAACCUACCUAUAAGACUGGGAUAACUUCGGGAAACCGGAGCUAAUACCGGAUAAUAUAUUGAACCGCAUGGUUCAAUAGUGAAAGACGGUUUUGCUGUCACUUAUAGAUGGAUCCGCGCCGCAUUAGCUAGUUGGUAAGGUAACGGCUUACCAAGGCAACGAUGCGUAGCCGACCUGAGAGGGUGAUCGGCCGCACUGGAGCUGGGCCACGGUCCAGGCUCCUACGGGAGGCAGCAGUAGGGUAUCUUCCGCAAUGGGCGAAAGCCUGACGGAGCGACGCCGCGUGAGUGAUAGAGGUCUUCGGAUCGUAAAACUCUGUUAUUAGGGAAGAACAAAUGUGUAAGUAACUAUGCACGUCUUGACGGUAACUAAUCAGAAAGCCACGGCUAACUACGUG